AAUAGAUACCCUGGUAGUCCUGGCCCUAAACGAUGUCCACUAGAUCGUGGCACCUCUGACGGUGUCAUGGUCGGAGCAAAAGUGUUAAGUGGACCGCCUGGGAAGUACGGUCGCAAGGCUAAAACUCAAAGGAAUUGACGGGGGGCUCACACAAGCGGUGGAGCAUGUGGUUUUAAUUCGAAGCAACGCGCGGAACCUUACCUGGGCUUGACAUGCCUGGAUUAUCCCCCAUGAAAGUGGGGUACACCCCCGGCAAGGGGCGGAACAGGUACAGGUGCUGCAUGGCUGUCGUCAGCUCGUGUCGUGAGAUGUCGGGUUAAGUCCCUUAACGAGCGAAACCUUUGCCCUUAGUUACCAGCGGGUUAUGCCGGGGACUCUAAGGGGACUGCCGGUGUCAAACCGGAGGAAGGUGGAGAUGACGUCAAGUCCUCAUGGCCUUUAUGCCCAGGGCCACACGACGUGCUACAAUGGGAUGCACAGAGCGAACCGAGGCCGCGAGGCGGAGGAAAUCGCAUAAACUCACUCCCCCGAGUUCAGAGUCGGAGGCUG
rnacentral:rRNA from 1 species